AUUGAACGCUGGCGGCAGGCCUAACACAUGCAAGUCGAGCGGUAGAGAGAAGCUUGCUUCUCUUGAGAGCGGCGGACGGGUGAGUAAUGCCUAGGAAUCUGCCUAGUGGUGGGGGAUAACGUUCGGAAACGGACGCUAAUACCGCAUACGUCCUACGGGAGAAAGCGGGGGACCUUCGGGCCUCGCGCCAUUAGAUGAGCCUAGGUCGGAUUAGCUAGUUGGUGAGGUAAAGGCUCACCAAGGCGACGAUCCGUAACUGGUCUGAGAGGAUGAUCAGUCACACUGGAACUGAGACACGGUCCAGACUCCUACGGGAGGCAGCAGUGGGGAAUAUUGGACAAUGGGCGAAAGCCUGAUCCAGCCAUGCCGCGUGUGUGAAGAAGGUCUUCGGAUUGUAAAGCACUUUAAGUUGGGAGGAAGGGUAGUAACUUAAUACGUUGCUACUUUGACGUACCGACA
rnacentral:rRNA from 1 species